UACGUAGGGUGCAGGCGUUGUCCGGAAUUAUUGGGCGUAAAGAGCUCGUAGGCGGUCUGUCGCGUCGGCUGUGAAAUCCCGAGGCUCAACCUCGGGUCUGCAGUCGAUACGGGCAAACUUGAGUGUUGCAGGGGAGACUGGAAUUCCUGGUGUAGCGGUGAAAUGCGCAGAUAUCAGGAGGAACACCGGUGGCGAAGGCGGGUCUCUGGGCAACAACUGACGCUGAGGAGCGAAAGCGUGGGGAGCGAACAGG
rnacentral:rRNA from 1 species